UGCCAGCAGCCGCGGUAAUACGAAGGGACCUAGCGUAGUUCGGAAUUACUGGGCUUAAAGAGUUCGUAGGUGGUUGAAAAAGUUAGUGGUGAAAUCCCAGAGCUUAACUCUGGAACUGCCAUUAAAACUUUUCAGCUAGAGUAUGAUAGAGGAAAGCAGAAUUUCUAGUAUAGAGGUGAAAUUCGUAGAUAUUAGGAGGAACACCAGUGGCGAAAGCGGCUCUCUGGCUCGAUACUGACGCUGAGGUGCGAAAGUGUGGGGAGCAAACAGGAUUAGAUA
rnacentral:rRNA from 1 species